rnacentral:rRNA from 1 species
UACAGAGGUCUCAAGCGUUGUUCGGAUUCAUGGGGCGUAAAGGGUGCGUAGGCGGCGAGGUAAGUCGGAUGUGAAAUCCCGGGGCUUAACCCCGGAACUGCAUUCGAUACUGCCUUGCUCGAGUACUGGAGAGGAGACUGGAAUUUACGGUGUAGCAGUGAAAUGCGUAGAUAUCGUAAGGAAGACCAGUGGCGAAGGCGAGUCUCUGGACAGUUACUGACGCUGAGGCACGAAGGCCAGGGGAGCAAACGGG